CGAGCUACAAUGGUUGGUACAAUGGGGUAUCUACCCCCGAAAAGGGGACGGGAAUUACUCCUAAAACCAAUCUUAGUUCGGAUUGAGGGCUGCAACUCGCCCUCAUGAAGCUGGAAUCCGUAGUAAUCGCGUUUCAACUGAACGCGGUGAAUACGUCCCUGCCGUCCUU
rnacentral:rRNA from 1 species